GGGAUAACACGAGGAAACUCGUGCUAAUACCGGAUACCUUCUUUUGGUCGCAUGGCCAGCUGAAGAAAGAUUUAUCGGUUUGGGAGGGUCUCGCGGCCUAUCAGCUAGUUGGCGGGGUAACGGCCCACCAAGGCAUCGACGGGUAGCUGGUCUGAGAGGACGAUCAGCCACACUGGGACUGAGACACGGCCCAGACUCCUACGGGAGGCAGCAGUGGGGAAUCUUGCGCAAUGGGCGAAAGCCUGACGCAGCAACGCCGCAUGCGGGAUGAAGGCCUUCGGGUUGUAAACCGCUUUCAGCAGGGAAGAAAUUGACGGUACCUGCAGAAGAAGCCCCGGCCAACUACGUGCCAGCAGCCGCGGUAACACGUAGGGGGCGAGCGUUGUCCGGAUUUAUUGGGCGUAAAGAGCUCGUAGGCGGUUCGGUAAGUCGGGUGUGAAACCUCCAGGCUCAACCUGGAGACGCCACCUGAUACUGCUGUGACUAGAGUCCGGUAGGGGAGUGUGGAACUCCUGGUGUAGCGGUGAAAUGCGCAGAUAUCAGGAAGAACACCAGCGGCGAAGGCGGCACUCUGGGCCGGUACUGACGCUGAGGAGCGAAAGCGUGGGUAGCAAACAGGAUUAGAUACCCUGGUAGUCCACGCCGUAAACGUUGGGCACUAGGUGUGGGUCUCAACCAACGAGAUCCGUGCCGCAGCUAACGCAUUAAGUGCCCCGCCUGGGGAGUACGGCCGCAAGGCUAAAACUCAAAGGAAUUGACGGGGCCCCGCACAAGCGGCGGAGCAUGUUGCUUAAUUCGAGGCAACGCGAAGAACCUUACCU
rnacentral:rRNA from 1 species